GCGGGAACAGAUAGUUAUUAAAUAAAAAAUGUAAAUAUAUCACAGCUUGUAGAUUACGUCUCAGUUGGUCCAGAGAAAGAAAGAGUUUUUCAAACUUAUACACCAGAAGGAAAUUACCUGAAAAAAAAAACAAUCUUAGCGGCACAUAAACAUUGUAUCUACUGAAUCCAUUUGAGUAACUCAAAC